rnacentral:rRNA from 1 species
UACGUAGGCAGCGAGCGUUGUUCGGAGUUACUAGGCGUAAAGGGUGUGUAGGCGGUUUUCUAAGUUUGGUGUGAAAUCUCCCGGCUCAACCGGGAGGGUGCGCCGAAAACUGGGAGACUAGAGUGCGGGAUGGGAGAGUAGAAUUCCUGGUGUAGCGGUGAAAUGCGUAGAUAUCAGGAGGAAUACCGGUGGUGUAGACGGCUCUCUGGACCGCCACUGACGCUGAGACACGAAAGCGUGGGUAGCAAACAGG